rnacentral:lncRNA from 1 species
AGAGAAGGGUGUCCCAGAUGUAGGCAAAGCGUCCUCCAUGUGUUCCUGGAGGACCGUCCCAAGUCCUUCUCCAUUCUCCCAACCUCUUGGGCCUGGAAGUCAGACAAGUACCGGUGAUUGCCGGUUUCUUGUCUGAUUUUUGCACUUCUCUGGCAAGCUGCCCCCUCUGAAGAGUUGACUAUUUGGGAGUUACUCACUGAUGGUUCAGCCACUUCCAGAACCUACCCCAAGAGCAAGACUUGAAACCAACUCGCACCCUCAAAGCUCCGGAAGCCAUUCAGUGUUUCCAUCUUGGCUGAGUGAGUUCUUCACUGAAACUCAAUUUGACUUUGACAGUCAUCUAAUGAGAACUCAAAAGUCAUUCUUGGUUCAGCCACAGUCAAAGAACUUGCAGAGCAUUCUCUGACGAGGUCCUCAAGGACAACUGAGAGAAGGGAUGUCCUCCACCUUUUCAAUCUGAUUUGCUCUUUGCCAUGCAGACCUGUGGAUGAAGAGCCAGAGUCCUCCAAGGUGAAGCUGGACUGAAUAUUUCUGUCCAUAAGACUAUUAGAAUCCCCCAAAGUGGGAUACCAGUGAGGACCUCACCAGCAGCUGCUGUCUCUCCAAUGCAGGUAGAUGAGCCUCAGAAAUAACCGCUGCUUGUGGUUUGCUGUGUAUUCCUCUAGAUGUUUUUCUUUACACAUAUUAGUGAGUGUGGAGAGAGAGUGUGUAUGUGUUCUGUAAAUUUGAUUACACUGCGCAUUUAUUCCGAAAUCCAUUUCACUUUACCGUUGGAACGUAAGCUCUGUGAGGGCAGAGACUUUUGUUUAUUGCACUUGCUGUUAGAGCUCUUGUCUGUAACAGUGGCUGGCACAUGGUCACAUCAUAGUAGAAGCUCAAUAAAUAUUUGUUGAAUGAAUGAAAAAA